rnacentral:lncRNA from 1 species
AUUUCUUGGGCUGCUCCCACGGCAUAUGGAGGUUCCCAGGCUAGGAGUCAACCAGAGCUGUAGCCACCAGCCUACGUCACAGUCACAGCAACACGGGCUCUGAGUUGCAUCUGUGACUUACACCACAGCUCAUGGCAAUGCUGGAUCCUUAACCCACUGAGCAAGGCCUUGGAUUGAACCCGCAACCUCAUGGUUCCUGGUUGGAUUCGUUAACCACUGAGCCAUGAUGGGAACUCUGGAGUGAUAGCUUUCACAUUACUGGGAGAUGAACAGUAUCAACUUCAAUUCUAUACCCAGGUUAUUAUCCUCCAACAAGGAGCACAGAGUAUACAGAAAUAUAAAGACAAGUAACAUUGUACAAACUAUGUGUGCUUACUAAAAGUACUGUAAAAGUUAUAUUUGCAGGAAGCAAAUAAAUACAGACAAAAAGAAUCAAAUGUGCAUAUAUGACCUAGAUAAUAGUGAACAAGAAAUUAAUUAAAAACAUAUUACCACAUUUAAUUAAGAAAUUUAUUGCUGCACCUGGAGCAUAUGGAAGUUCCUGGGCCAGGGGUUGAGCUGCAGCUGAGACCUACGCUGGUUCCUUUAACCUGCUGCAUGGCAGGAUUGAAACUGCACCUGCUCAGUGACCAGAGCCAUUGCUAUUGGGUUCAUAACCCACUGUGCCACAGUGGGAACUCCUAAUUAAUUUUAACAUAUGUAUAUUUAAACUUUCUUUUUUAAAUGUAUAUGUAUUUUUUCUUUUUAAAAAUAGAUCAUCAUCUGAGGAGAGUGAGCAGGAGAAAUUCAGGCUCAGUCAAGAAAUAAAUAAACAACACAAAGAAUGACAAAAGUAGACACAACUUUAACAAAGAGAAAUUUAAAGUAAAUACCACACACUGAUACUGAUUUACACGGUACCAAAAAUUGGAAAACAGAGACUAAACAGACUAUUAUCCAGAAAAACACCUUAACCAAAAUUGUCUCAGGAAAAUCUGUUUUAUGGAGCAAACCGUAAUUUGAAAAGAUACAUGUAUCCCAUUGUUCACUGCAGCACUAUUCCCAAAAGCCAAGACAUGGGAGGAACCUAAGUAUUCAUUAGCAAAGGACUGGAGAAGGAAGAUGUGGAGAAGAGGCCACCACUCAGCCACAGAAAAGCAUGAAGAAGUGCCACUGGCAGCAGCGUGGAUGGCUCUGGAGGUUAUCAUGCCAACCAAAGUAGUCAGAGAAAGACAAAUAUCAUAUAGUAUCACUUACACGUAGAAUCUAAAAAAAGAUACAAAUGAAAUUGUUUACAAAACAGAAGUGAACUCACAGACAUGGAGAGUAAACUUACGGUUACCAAUGGGAAAAGAGAGAGAAGGAAUAAAUUGAGAAUUUGGGAUUCACACACACACACACACACACUACUGUACAUAAAAUAGAUAAACACGCUCCUACUGUAUAGCCCAGGGAACUAUACUCAGUAUCGUGUAUGAACCUAUAAUAGAAAAGACCCUGAAUCUCUUUGCUGUGCUUCUGAAAGUAACACAACAUUGUAAAUCAACUACACUGCAAUUAAAAAAGAAAAUUUUUCUUUUAAAAAACUUAAACCAAUAACAUUUAAAGGAAACACGUUUAUUCUGUCCUUCAAAUGACAAGAGUUGACUUUUUUUAACACACAACUUCUAACAAAUCAUCAUGACAAACUAUUCCAAGAACAUAGCAAAAUAAAAUUAUGCAACUUAUUUUAUGAGGCAAAUAUAGAUUUCCUCAUAAAACACUAAAUCUACACAAGGAAAAUAAAAAUCUAGAACAAUUUUACCCUUGAACAUAUUUUUUAAGAAAUCCCACCAAAAAAUAGUGACUACAGCAGUAUUUAAAGAAAAUAGAGCAUGAACAGGUGGGAUUUAUCACAGGAAUGCAAUAUUGUCUAUUACUGCAAUUGCUCAUAUUAAUAAGGUAAAUGAAAGAAACAGCAUUAUAUAUGGCACCACAAAUGCAGAAAAAGCAGUCAAAAUCCUUGUGGACACUGGUGACAAUAAUUUUUAUUAGCAAACUAGAUAGGAGGUUUUUUUUUUUUAACUGUAAAAAUAUCUGUUGAGAUGGGAUUAAGAUUGCAGAACAGAAGACUGGAGCUCAGCUUCUCUCAUAAAAACAACAAAAUUACAACCAAAUGCUGAACAACCUUCAACCAGAUAGACUGGAGACUUUCAAAACAGAUAUCCUACUCUAGAAGACAAAGAGGAGGUCACGUCAAGGUGGCAGGAGGGGUGGUUACGUGAUAUAAGCAACCCCAUCCAUACCCGCCGGGUGGGCAGCCCACAGACUGGAGAGUAACUAUGACAGAGACUCACCUACAGGAGUGAGAGUUCUGAGCCCCACAUCAGGCCCCAAUGCCUGGGGACCUGGCACUGGGAGAAAGAGCCCACCAGAGCGUCUGGCAUCGAUGGCCAGUGGGGCUUGUGCGCAGGAGAUCCAGGGGACUGAGGGAAGCGGAGACCCCAUUUUUGAAAGGAGCACACAGACCUUCAUGUACACUGGGUCCCAGGGCAAAGCAGAGACUCCCUAGGAAUCUGGGUUGGACCUGACUGCAGUUCUUGGAGAAUCUCCUGGGAAAACAGGGGUGAAUGUGGCUCAUUGUGGGGGAAGGACAUUGGAAGCAAAUCUCUUGGGAAUCUUUAGCACCAUGCCUUUCUCUGGAGGUGGCCUGUUUUUUGGGAAAAUCUGGUCCCACCCAUUGGUGCUGAGAAGCCCCAGGCCAAACAACAAUCCAGGUGGGAUCACAGCCCUACCCAUCAGUAAACAGGCUGCCUAAAGACCCCCCAGGCACACAGCCAACCUUUAUUCUCACCCAGAGACAAAGCCCCACCCACCAGAGGGAUAGGAAUCAGCCCCACCUACCAAUGGGUAGGCACCAGUCCCUCCCAUCUGGAAGCCUACAGCAAGCCCCCAUACCAACUUCAGCCACAAGGGGGGCAGACACCAGAAGAAAGAGAGAGUACAACUCUAUAGUCUGCAAAAAGGAGAACACACCAAAAACCUAUAAAAAUGAAAAGGCCAAGAGCUAUAACUCAGGUAAGGGAGAAAGAAAACCCAGAAAAACAGCUAGGUGAUCUGGAGAUUAUCAGCCUCAAGGAAAAAGACUUUAGACUGAUGAUGCUGAAGAUGAUGUAAGACACUGGAAAUAAACUGGAGGCAAAGAUGGGUAACUUACAGGAAACACUGAGCAAAGAGAUAGAAGAUACAAAACUUAAGUAAGGAGAGAUGCAAAAUACAGUAACUGAAAUAAAAAAUUCAUUAGAAGCAGCCAACAGCAGAAUAUAGGAGGCAGAAUGAAUAAGUGAGGUGGAGGACAGACUAGUGGAAAUCACGGAUGCAGAACAGAAAAGAAAAAAAGAUUGAAAACAAAUGAAGACAGUCUCAGAGAACUCUGGGACAACGUUAAACACACCAACAUCCAUAUUAUAGCGGUGCCAGAAGGAGGAGAGAGAGAGAAGGGGACAGAAAAAAUAUUCAAAGAGAUAAUAGUCGAAAAUUUCUCUAACAUGGGAAAGGAACCACUCACUCAAAUCCAGGAAGCACAACGAGUACCAUAUAAUAUAAACCCAAGGAGGAGCACCCCGAGACACGUAUUAAUCAAACUGACCAAAAUUAAAGGCAAAGAGAAAAUAUUGAAAGCAGCUAGGGAAAAGAAACAUAACAUAUAAGGGAGCCCCGAUGAGGUUAUUGGCAGAUUUUCAGCAGAAACUCUGCAGGGCAGAAGGGAGUGGCAUGAUAUACUUAAGGUGAUGAAAGGAAAAAACCUCCAACCAAGAUUACUUUACCCAGCAAGGCGCUCAUAUAUAUAUAUAUAUAUAUAUAUAUAUAUAUACACACACACACACACACACUCCUACAUCAAAACUUCAGGGAAACUGCAAACCAAACCUACAACUGAUACACAAAUACGAAAGAUUAACUCAAAUACAACACUAAAGACAGUCAUCAAACCACAAGAGGAAAGAACAAGAAGGGAAGAAAAAAGAGCAACAAAACCAAAUCUGAAACAGUUGAUAAAAUGGCAAGAAGAACAUACACAUCAAGAAUUACUUUGCACUGCAAAUGGACUAAAUGGCCCAACCAAAAGACAUAGACAGGCUGAAUGGAUACAAAAACAAGAUUCAUAUACAUGCUGUCUUCAAGAGACACAUUUCACUUCUGGGGACACAUACGAAUUGAAAGAGGAUGGAAGAAAAUAUUCCAUGCAAACAGGAAUCAAAAGAAAGCUGCAGUAGCAAUACUCAUAUCAGAUAAAACAGACCUUAAAAUGAAGAAUAUUUUAAGAGCCAUGGAAGGACAUUACAUAAUGAUAAAGAAUCAAUCGAAGAAGAAGAUAUAACAAUUUUAAAUAUCUAUGCACCCAACAUAGUUGCACAAUAUAUAAGGCAACUGCUAACAACCCUAAAAGGAUAAAGUGACAAUAACACAGCAAUAGUGGGGGACUUUGACUCCCCACUUACAGCAAUGGACAGAUCAUCCAGACAGAAAAUCAACAAAGAAACACGGGCCUAAAUCAAGCACUAGACCAGAUGGACCUAAUAGAUAUUUAUAGAACAUUCCAUCCAAAAGCAGCAGAAUACCGAUUCUUCUGAAGUGCACACGGACCAUCUCUAGGACUGAUCACAUUCUGGGCCACAAAUCAAGUCUUGGCAACUUUAAGAAAACAAAUCAUAUCAAGCAUCUUUUCUGACCACAACACUAUAGAAGAUAUCAACAACAAAAACUGCAAAAACCAUAAACACAUGGAAACUAAACAGCAUGCUACUAAACAACCAAUGGAUCACUAAAGAAAUCAAAGAGGAAAUUAAAAAAAAAUACAUAGAAGCAAAUGACAACAAAGAUACAACACUCCAAAACCUAUGCAAUGUAGCAAAAGCAGUUCCAAGAGGGACAUUUAUAGCAAUAUGAGCCCACCUCAGGAAAUAAGGAAAAACUCAAAUAAACAAUCUAACUUUACAUCUAAAGCAGCUAGAGAGACAAGACCUAAAGUUAGCAGAAGGAAAGAAAUUAUAAAGAUUGGAACAGAAAUAAAUGAAAUAGAAAUGAAGAAAACCAUAGAAGAUACCAAUGAAACUAAAGGCUGGUUCUUUGAAAAGAUCAACAAAGUUGAUAAACCCUUAGCCAGACUUAUCAAGAAAAAAAGAGAGGACUCAAAUCAAUCAAAUUAGGAAUGAAAAAGAAGUUACAAGGACAUCACAGAAAUAAAGAGGAUCAUAAGAGACUACUAUAUGCAACUACUUGCCAGUAAAACAGAAAACCUAGAAGAAAUGGACAAAUUCUUAGAAAAGCACAAUCUUCCAAGACUAAACCAAGAUGAAAUAGAAAAGAUGAAUGGACCAAUCACAAGAACUGAAAUUGAAACUGUGAUUUAAAAACCUCUAACAAACAAAAGUGCAGGCCCAGAUUUCCAUCAAACAUUCAGAGAAGAGUUAACAUCCAUCCUUCUGAAACUAUUCCAAGAAACUGCAGAGGAAGGAAUACUCUCAAACUCAUUCCACGAGGCCACCAUCACCCAAUCAAAGAUAACCACAAAAAAAAAAAAUUAUGGGCUGAUAUCUCUGAUGAACAUAGAUGCAAAAAUCCUCAACAAUAUAAUAGCAAACCGAAUGCAACAACACAUUAAAAGGACUGUACAUCAGGAUCAAGUGGGAUUUAUCCCAGGGAUGCAAAGAUUCUUCAGUAUUUGCAAAUCAAUCAUUGUGAUACACCACAUUAACAACUGAAGACUAGAAACUAUAAGAUCCUCUCAACAGAUGCAGAAAAAGCCUUUGACAAAAUCCAACACCCCUUUCUGAUAAGAACCCUUUAGAAAGUGGGCAUAGAAGGAACCUACCUCAGCAUAACAAAAGCCAUAUAUGACAAACCCACAGCUAACAUAAUUCUCAAUGGUGAAAAGCUGAAAGAGUUCCCGAUGAGAAUAGGAACAAGACAGUGAUGCCCGCUCUUUCCUCUACCAUUCAGCAUAGUUUUGGAAGUCCUGGCCACGGCAAUCAGAAAAAAAAAAAAAAAAAAGGAAAGAAAAGGAAUCGAAACUGGAAAGGAAGAAGUAAAACUAUCACUACUUGCAGAUGACAUGAUACUAUACCUAGAAAAUCCAAAGAUGCUAGAGAAAACUGUUACAGCUCAUCAAUGAAUUUAGCAAAGUCGCAGGAUACAAAAUUAAUACACAGAAAUCAACUGCAUUCUAUAAACUAACAAUGAGAGGUCAGUUAGGGAAACAAUCCCACUUACUCUCACAUCAAAAAGAAUAAAAUACUUAGGAAUAAACCUACAUAAAGAGUCAAAAGACCUAUACUCUGAAAACUGUAAGAUGCUGAUGAAAGAAAUCAAAGAUGACACAAACAGAUGGAAAGACAUACAUACCAUGCUCUUGGAUUGGAAGAGUCAAUAUUAUCAAAAUGACUAUACUACCUAAGGCAAUCUACAGAUUCAGUGCAAUCCCUAUCAU